GGCAAGUGUUGUUACAAUCGGAGGAAGAACUCUUGAGGAAAAGGUCCUUGGAACUCGUCAGUGAGGGAGCCUCGAUGAAGCCAAAGAAAACUCUUGGCAAGCUGAAAGUACAAGUGCGAAAAGUGAAAAUGGCAUUGGACCCACCCACAGGAUGCAGCUUUUCCACUCUGAAACCACCAAAAGUAAAACUGGAGGCUAUACGUGCUCAGUUGUCCAAUGUAAAAUCGACCAUCAGUUCUGAAUGGGGAGCCAUACGAAAAGUACGUGUGGCUCCAAGGGUUCCACCAAAUGGUUCUUUAUCACAUCAAAGCUUGGCAUACCUUCAUGCCGGUACUCGUUAUGUGAAAGACGUUUCUGGGAUUUUGAAACUUGGUGUAACUAGUUUACGAAGCAGUUCAGCGUCGUAUGAAGUAGUUCCAGAGACAUACUUUUGUUCGUUGAGAUUGAAAAGUUUACCUGAAGAGGAUACAGUGAAAAUGCUAGCUGGAUCCGCUGAAACACAUCUAUUCUUACCGGAGGGGCUGGGGGAUGACUUAAUUGUUGAUGUACGUGACUCAAAGGGAAACUACUGCGGCCGUGCAGUAGCUCAGGUUGCUGAUAUUGCUGAUGAUCCGGGGGACAAACUCCGUUGGUGGUCCAUAUAUCAUGAGCCAGAGCAUGAACUUGUUGGAAGAGUACAACUAUAUAUAAAUUAUUCAACUAGUCCUGAUGAAAAUAGCAACACUAAGUGUGGUCCUGUCGCAGAAACCGUUGCAUAUGAUUCUGUUUUGGAAGCAGCAAUGAAAGUUCAACAGUUUCAGCAGAGAAAUUUGGUGCUCCAUGGUCCUUGGAGAUGGUUAGUAACUAAAUUUGCAUCAUACUAUGGAGUCUCGGAUGCAUAUACAAAACUAAGAUAUCUUACUUAUGUCAUGGAUGUUGCAACGCCCACAGCAGACUGUCUGAAUUUGGUAUAUGAAUUGCUGCUACCCGUGGUCUCUAAACCUAAGAAUAGCCUUAGUCAUCAAGAGAAUCGUAUUCUAGGAGAAGUUUCUGAAAAGAUCGAGCUGAUUGUUGCUCUAGUUUUUGAGAACUACAAGUCUUUAGACGAAUCAUUACCAUCAGGGAUGGAAGAUGUGUUCAAACCUGCUACUGGAGUUGCUGCUCCUGCACUGUCUCCUGCUUUGAAGCUGUAUAGUCUUCUUAAUGAUAUUCUUUCUCCAGAGGCCCAGUUGAAACUAUGCAGAUAUUUUCAGACUGCUGCGAAGAAAAGAUCCAGAAGACACUUGGCGGAAACAGAUGAAUUUGU
rnacentral:misc_RNA from 1 species